rnacentral:rRNA from 1 species
CUACGGGUUGCUGCAGUGGGGAAUAUUGCACAAUGGAGGAAACUCUGAUGCAGUAACGCCGCGUGGAGGAUGACACUUUUCGGAGCGUAAACUCCUUUUAUAUAGGAAGAAGAUGACGGUACUAUAUGAAUAAGCGCCGGCUAACUCCGUGCGCAGCAGCCGCGGUAAUACGGAGGGCGCAAGCGUUACUCGGAAUCACUGGGCGUAAAGAGCGUGUAGGCGGAGUAAAAAGUCAGAAGUGAAAUCCUAUAGCUUAACUAUAGAACUGCUUCUGAAACUCUUAAUCUAGAAUAUGGGAGAGGUAGAUGGAAUUUCUGGUGUAGGGGUAAAAUCCGUAGAGAUCAGAAGGAAUACCGAUUGCGAAGGCGAUCUACUAGAACAUUAUUGACGCUGAGACGCGAAAGCGUGGGGAGCAAACAGGAUUAGAUACCCCUGUAGUC